rnacentral:rRNA from 1 species
AACGAACGCUGGCGGCGUGGCUAAGACAUGCAAGUCGAACGGUCCGACGCUUAUUUGUUUACAAAUCAGCGACGGAUAGUGGCGAAAGGGUUAGUAAUAGAUAGGUAACGUACCCUAUGCUUCGGGAUAGCGUCAGUUGCUUUUAGCAACUUUCCGAAAGGGGCGGUAAUACCGAAUAAUAUCAUUUGUCGAUAGGCAAAUGAUCAAAGAUUUAUCGGCGAAGGAGCGGCCUAUCUCCUAUCAGCUUGUUGGUGAGGUAAUGGCUCACCAAGGCAGCGACGGGUAGCGGGACUGAGAGGUUGGCCCGCAACAUCGGGACUGAGACACUGCCCGGACCUCCACGGAGGGCUGCAGUAACGAAUAUUGCGCAAUGGGCGAAAGCCUGACGCAGCGACGCCGCGUGCGGGAGGAAGUCCCUCGGGAUGUAAACCGCUGUCAGGGGUAAGAAAGUCCGCUUCGGCGGAUUGAUCCCACCCAGAGGAAGUCACGGCUAACUUCGUGCCAGCAGCCGCGGUAAGACGAAGGUGGCUAGCGUUGUUCGGUGUCACUGGGCUUAAAGAGUGUGUAGGCGGAAAAGUAAGCGUCCUGUGAAAGCCCCCGGCUUAACCGGGGAACUGCUCGACGAACUGCUUUUCUUGAGGCAAGUAGGGGUGCAUGGAACUCUUGGUGGAGCGGUGGAAUGCGUAGAUAUCAAGAGGAACGCCAGUGGUGAAAACGGUGCACUGGGCUUGUUACAGGUCUUGAGAUGCCGUUAGGCAUCUUACGGACCCUCUGACGCUGAGACACGAAAGCGUGGGGAGCGAACGGGAUUAGAUACCCCGGUAGUCCACGCCGUAAACGAUGUCUACUAGGUUGCGGUAGUCCUGACACUGGCGCGGCCGAAGCAAAAGUGUUAAGUAGACCGCCUGGGGAGUACGGCCGCAAGGCUAAAACUCAAAGGAAUUGACGGGGGCUCACACAAGCGGUGGAGCAUGUGGAUUAAUUCGAAGCAACGCGCAGAACCUUACCUGGGUUUGACAUGCUUGGAUGCUUGCCGAGAAACCGGUUAAGCUGCCCUUCGGGGUGAAACUUGCACAGGUGCUGCAUGGCUGUCGUCAGCUCGUGUCGUGAGAUGUCGGGUUAAGUCCUUUAACGAGCGAAACCCUUACCGUUAGUUGCCAGCGGGUUAGGCCGGGGACUCUAACGGGACUGCCGGUGUUAAACCGGAGGAAGGUGGGGACGACGUCAAGUCAUCAUGGCCUUUAUGCCCAGGGCUUCACACGUGCUACAAUGGCGGCCACAGAGCGACGCAAGACCGUGAGGUGGAGCAAAUCGCAAAAAGGUCGCCUCAGUUCGGAUUGCAGGCUGGCAACUCGCCUGCAUGAAGUUGGAAUCGCUAGUAAUCGCGUAUCAGCUACGACGCGGUGAAUAUGUUCCUGAGCCUUGUACACACCGCCCGUCAAGUGAUGGGAGUUGGGAGUGCCCGAAGUCGGGUUGCUAACCUGGUUUACCAGGAAGCGCCUGCCGACGGUAAGCCUGAUGACUGGCACU